rnacentral:rRNA from 1 species
CGGGAAACCGGAGCUAAUACCGGAUAAUAUAUUGAACCGCAUGGUUCAAUAGUGAAAGACGGUUUUGCUGUCACUUAUAGAUGGAUCCGCGCCGCAUUAGCUAGUUGGUAAGGUAACGGCUUACCAAGGCAGCGAUGCGUAGCCGACCUGAGAGGGUGAUCGGCCACACUGGAACUGAGACACGGUCCAGACUCCUACGGGAGGCAGCAGCC